GAUGAACGCUGGCGGCGUGCCUAACACAUGCAAGUCGAACGGGAAACUUUUGAUUGAAGCCUCGGCAGAUUUGGUCUGUUGGUAGUGGCGGACGGGUGAGUAACUCGUGGGUAACCUGGCUUAUACAUGGGGAUAAAAACCAGAAAUGGUUGCAAAUACCGCAUAAGCGCACAGGACCGCAUGGUCCGGUGGGAAAAACUGCAGUGGUAUAAGAUGGACCCGCUCUGGAUUAGCUAGUUGGCAGGGUAACGGCCUACCAAGGCGACGAUCCAUAGCCGGCCUGAGAGGAUGAACGGCCACAUUGGGACUGAGACACGGCCCAGACUCCUACGGGAGGCAGCAGUGGGGAAUAUUGCACAAUGGGCGAAAGCCUGAUGCAGCGACGCCGCGUGAAGGAAGAAGUAUUUAGGUAUGUAAACUUCUAUCAGCAGGGAAGAUAGUGACGGUACCUGACGAAGAAGCCCCGGCUAACUACGUG
rnacentral:rRNA from 1 species